AGAGCGCGGCUCUCGCUGCCCUGCGGCCGCCCCGAUCCUGCUGUGCCAGCGGCAGCUGCGCCGGGAGCGAGCUGUCCCGAGCCUGGCAUGGGCGCAGUCCCCUUGGCUGGCGCAGCGACGGCCGGAACGAGCGAACGGCGGCUGUGCCAUCAUUUCCCUGAUGGGAGUCCUGGAAACAGAACUGAGAGUCCAUGAGAAAUGAGAAUACUGCAGCUGGAGUGCUGAGAAUGGAGAGUCUGCAGGGAAUAUUGCCUGGGCGGCGUCUUAGCCCAGGUCUCGGGGGCUGUGUGGAGAUUCCUCCCUGGAGCAGGGUCCCCCCGUGAGGAGGAGCCAGGGACUGGGACAUUGGACCA